GGUUAAGCGACUAAGCGUACACGGUGGAUGCCCUGGCAGUCAGAGGCGAUGAAGGACGUGCUAAUCUGCGAUAAGCGUCGGUAAGGUGAUAUGAACCGUUAUAACCGGCGAUUUCCGAAUGGGGAAACCCAGUGUGAUUCGUCACACUAUCAUUAACUGAAUCCAUAGGUUAAUGAGGCGAACCGGGGGAACUGAAACAUCUAAGUACCCCGAGGAAAAGAAAUCAACCGAGAUUCCCCCAGUAGCGGCGAGCGAACGGGGAGCAGCCCAGAGCCUGAAUCAGUGUGUGUGUUAGUGGAAGCGUCUGGAAAGGCGCGCGAUACAGGGUGACAGCCCCGUACACAAAAAUGCACAUGCUGUGAGCUCGAUGAGUAGGGCGGGACACGUGGUAUCCUGUCUGAAUAUGGGGGGACCAUCCUCCAAGGCUAAAUACUCCUGACUGACCGAUAGUGAACCAGUACCGUGAGGGAAAGGCGAAAAGAACCCCGGCGAGGGGAGUGAAAAAGAACCUGAAACCGUGUACGUACAAGCAGUGGGAGCACGCUUAGGCGUGUGACUGCGUACCUUUUGUAUAAUGGGUCAGCGACUUAUAUUCUGUAGCAAGGUUAACCGAAUAGGGGAGCCGAAGGGAAACCGAGUCUUAACUGGGCGUUAAGUUGCAGGGUAUAGACCCGAAACCCGGUGAUCUAGCCAUGGGCAGGUUGAAGGUUGGGUAACACUAACUGGAGGACCGAACCGACUAAUGUUGAAAAAUUAGCGGAUGACUUGUGGCUGGGGGUGAAAGGCCAAUCAAACCGGGAGAUAGCUGGUUCUCCCCGAAAGCUAUUUAGGUAGCGCCUCGUGAAUUCAUCUCCGGGGGUAGAGCACUGUUUCGGCAAGGGGGUCAUCCCGACUUACCAACCCGAUGCAAACUGCGAAUACCGGAGAAUGUUAUCACGGGAGACACACGGCGGGUGCUAACGUCCGUCGUGAAGAGGGAAACAACCCAGACCGCCAGCUAAGGUCCCAAAGUCAUGGUUAAGUGGGAAACGAUGUGGGAAGGCCCAGACAGCCAGGAUGUUGGCUUAGAAGCAGCCAUCAUUUAAAGAAAGCGUAAUAGCUCACUGGUCGAGUCGGCCUGCGCGGAAGAUGUAACGGGGCUAAACCAUGCACCGAAGCUGCGGCAGCGACACUGUGUGUUGUUGGGUAGGGGAGCGUUCUGUAAGCCUGCGAAGGUGUGCUGUGAGGCAUGCUGGAGGUAUCAGAAGUGCGAAUGCUGACAUAAGUAACGAUAAAGCGGGUGAAAAGCCCGCUCGCCGGAAGACCAAGGGUUCCUGUCCAACGUUAAUCGGGGCAGGGUGAGUCGACCCCUAAGGCGAGGCCGAAAGGCGUAGUCGAUGGGAAACAGGUUAAUAUUCCUGUACUUGGUGUUACUGCGAAGGGGGGACGGAGAAGGCUAUGUUGGCCGGGCGACGGUUGUCCCGGUUUAAGCGUGUAGGCUGGUUUUCUAGGCAAAUCCGGAAAAUCAAGGCUGAGGCGUGAUGACGAGGCACUACGGUGCUGAAGCAACAAAUGCCCUGCUUCCAGGAAAAGCCUCUAAGCAUCAGGUAACAUCAAAUCGUACCCCAAACCGACACAGGUGGUCAGGUAGAGAAUACCAAGGCGCUUGAGAGAACUCGGGUGAAGGAACUAGGCAAAAUGGUGCCGUAACUUCGGGAGAAGGCACGCUGAUAUGUAGGUGAAGUCCCUCGCGGAUGGAGCUGAAAUCAGUCGAAGAUACCAGCUGGCUGCAACUGUUUAUUAAAAACACAGCACUGUGCAAACACGAAAGUGGACGUAUACGGUGUGACGCCUGCCCGGUGCCGGAAGGUUAAUUGAUGGGGUCAGCGCAAGCGAAGCUCUUGAUCGAAGCCCCGGUAAACGGCGGCCGUAACUAUAACGGUCCUAAGGUAGCGAAAUUCCUUGUCGGGUAAGUUCCGACCUGCACGAAUGGCGUAAUGAUGGCCAGGCUGUCUCCACCCGAGACUCAGUGAAAUUGAACUCGCUGUGAAGAUGCAGUGUACCCGCGGCAAGACGGAAAGACCCCGUGAACCUUUACUAUAGCUUGACACUGAACAUUGAGCCUUGAUGUGUAGGAUAGGUGGGAGGCUUUGAAGUGUGGACGCCAGUCUGCAUGGAGCCGACCUUGAAAUACCACCCUUUAAUGUUUGAUGUUCUAACGUUGACCCGUGAUCCGGGUUGCGGACAGUGUCUGGUGGGUAGUUUGACUGGGGCGGUCUCCUCCUAAAGAGUAACGGAGGAGCACGAAGGUUGGCUAAUCCUGGUCGGACAUCAGGAGGUUAGUGCAAUGGCAUAAGCCAGCUUGACUGCGAGCGUGACGGCGCGAGCAGGUGCGAAAGCAGGUCAUAGUGAUCCGGUGGUUCUGAAUGGAAGGGCCAUCGCUCAACGGAUAAAAGGUACUCCGGGGAUAACAGGCUGAUACCGCCCAAGAGUUCAUAUCGACGGCGGUGUUUGGCACCUCGAUGUCGGCUCAUCACAUCCUGGGGCUGAAGUAGGUCCCAAGGGUAUGGCUGUUCGCCAUUUAAAGUGGUACGCGAGCUGGGUUUAGAACGUCGUGAGACAGUUCGGUCCCUAUCUGCCGUGGGCGCUGGAGAACUGAGGGGGGCUGCUCCUAGUACGAGAGGACCGGAGUGGACGCAUCACUGGUGUUCGGGUUGUCAUGCCAAUGGCACUGCCCGGUAGCUAAAUGCGGAAGAGAUAAGUGCUGAAAGCAUCUAAGCACGAAACUUGCCCCGAGAUGAGUUCUCCCUGACUCCUUGAGAGUCCUGAAGGAACGUUGAAGACGACGACGUUGAUAGGCCGGGUGUGUAAGCGCAGCGAUGCGUUGAGCUAACCGGUACUAAUGAACCGUGAGGCUUAACCUU
rnacentral:rRNA from 1 species